rnacentral:rRNA from 1 species
UUUGGAAUUUUGGACAAUGGGCGCAAGCCUGAUCCAGCCAUGCCGCGUGAGUGACGAAGGCCUUAGGGUUGUAAAGCUCUUUUGGCGGGGAAGAUAAUGACGGUACCCGCAGAAUAAGCUCCGGCUAACUUCGUGCCAGCAGCCGCGGUAAUACGAAGGGAGCUAGCGUUGUUCGGAAUCACUGGGCGUAAAGCGCACGUAGGUGGGCAGUUAAGUCAGGGGUGAAAGCCCGAGGCUCAACCUCGGAAUUGCCUCUGAUACUGGCUGUCUAGAGUUCGAGAGAGGUGAGUGGAAUUCCUAGUGUAGAGGUGAAAUUCGUAGAUAUUAGGAAGAACACCAGUGGCGAAGGCGGCCAACUGGCUCGAUACUGACGCUCAUGCACGAAAGCGUGGGGAGCAAACAGGAUUAGAUACCCAUGUAGUCCCUGAGCGGGCUGGCAAGGCGCAU